CGGAUCUCACCCCCCUCCAACAUGGCACUGUUUCACUUUGCAAUUAAAAUUAAAGAAAAAAAAAACAUAAUGGCAAUCUGCCAUAUAUAAUAGCCAAGCAAAUCUCUAUUGUUAGGGCUUCAACUUGGAGACACCGCCGAACCACCAUCACACUUGGUGGCCGACCAUGCGUAGAAGAGUCGCAAUCCGAGGCCAGAGGUGUUUAUGGCGUGGAAAAGCCGUUCGUGGACGUGGAGCGUGGCGCGCGUGGAAGCCGUUGUGGAGCAUGGAGGCUGGCGGCUGAAGUUUCUAGUGUUUAAGGUUUGCUGAAAAAUCAUUAGUGUUUUGGGCUUGGGGUAAUGGGUUAUUUGGGCUAAUUGGGUUAUAUAUUUUUACUGGGUUUGGGGAUUUAUUUGGGUUAUUUUAUUAUUUGUAAAAGAACUUAGACUUUGACUAA